rnacentral:rRNA from 1 species
UACGGGGGGGGUAAGCGUUGUUCGGAAUUACUGGGCGUAAAGGGUUCGUAGGUGGCUUGCUAAGUCAGACGUGAAAUCCCUCAGCUUAACUGGGGAACUGCGUCUGAUACUGGCGAGCUUGAGUGCAGGAGAGGAACGCGGAAUUCCAGGUGUAGCGGUGAAAUGCGUAGAUAUCGAGAGGAACACCUGCGGCGAAGGCGGGUGGCUGGGCCGACACUGACGCUGAGGCGCGAAAGCCAGGGGAGCGAACGGG